CUUCAAAUUCGUUUUUUCAACUCUCUCUUGCUGGAGAAUGUCCCUCUCUUUGUAACUAUGGCCUAUACCAGAAAAGUGAUAAAGAUUCUUUCCAUUGUUGUCUUCAGAGUUUACUGGAACUUACAAAAAUAUAUGGGUCAAGAAAUACAAUAAGUCUUGAGGGUAUAUGUGGGUAAGAGUAGUUAAUAAUAGCCACCCAUUAAGAAUGAUGCUCCGAAAUCUGCAAUCCAACUUCUGUUUUCUACUGCUGCUUGUUUCAAUCCAAUGUUUAUUGGUGAUAGUCUUUGGUACAGACCAUUAUAGAAGAGCUGACUUCCCUCCUGGCUUUGUUUUUGGUGCUGGAACUUCUGCCUAUCAAGUAGAAGGGGCAGCAUCUGAAGAUGGAAGGACACCUAGCAUUUGGGAUACUUUUGCUCAUGCUGGUUUUUCCGGUGGAGCCAAUGGAGACAUAGCAUGUGAUCUGUACCACAAAUACAAGGAAGAUGUCCAACUCAUGGUUGACACAGGCUUAGAAGCCUACAGGUUCUCUAUUUCAUGGUCUAGACUUAUACCUGGUGGAAGAGGACCUGUAAAUCCAAAGGGUUUACAGUUUUACAACAAUUACAUUGAUGAACUUAUCAGCCACGGUAUUCAACCACAUGUUACACUAUUUCACAGUGAUCUACCAUAGGUACUUGAAGAUAAACACGGGGGAUGGUUAAGCCGAAAGAUUGUGAAGGACUUCACUGCAUAUGCAGAGGUAUGCUUCAAGGAGUUUGGUGACAGGGUGAUGUAUUGGACCACCAUUAAUGAGGCCAAUAUAUUUGCGAUUGGAGGUUAUGAUAAUGGCAUCACCCCACCAGGACGUUGUUCCCCACCUUUUGGGGUUUAUUGUUCUAGAGGCAAUUCAUCUACUGAGCCUUAUAUUGUUGUUCAUAACAUGUUGCUUGCACAUUCAUCUGCAAUGAAAUUGUACAGGAGAAAUUACAAGUCCACCCAACAUGGUUUUGUGGGAUUUAAUAUAUAUGGUUUUUGGUGUGUUCCUUACACAAAUUCAGGGGAUGAUGUAAAUGCAGCAGAAAGAGCUAAUGAAUUUUAUACUGGUUGGAUAAUGAAUCCUUUAAUAUUUGGAGACUAUCCAUCUGUAAUGAAGAAGGCUGCUGGGACAAGAAUUCCAACCUUCAGCAAAUAUGAGGCUAAGCUAGUUAAGGGCUCAGUUGAUUUCAUAGGCCUAAACCACUAUACAACAGCAUCUGUUAAGGACAGGUCUUCCAGCAUUGAAAAGAAUACCAGGGACUUUGGUGCUGACAUAGAAGCAGAUAUCUCACUUGAGGCAUUGGCAGCAGAUCAGUAUCCAGUGAUACCUUCUGGUCUUUAUGAAUUUCUGGAGUAUUUAAAAGAAGCUUAUGGCAACCCACCGAUUUACAUUCAGGAAAAUGGUCAAAAGACUCGGCGUAAUGGUACACUAAAUGACGCAGCAAGAAUAAAUUAUUUGCAUGCCUACAUUGGGAGUGUUCUCGACGCUGUAAGGAACGGAUCGGAUGCAAGAGGCUAUUCCGCGUGGUCCUUCUUAGAUGGUUUGGAGUUACUUGGUGGCUAUGGACCGAGCUAUGGCCUCUACUAUGUAGAUUUGGAUGACAAAGAAUUAAGAAGGUAUCCAAAACUUUCUGCAUACUGGUACGCCAACUUCUUAAAGGGAAAAAGCUCGAUUACUAGUGCAGCUUCCAAGUAGGGGACAAGCUUCCUAUCUACAAAUCCUAGUUUUGUUACUAAAUUGGUUCUUCUCUAAUAUGGUUUUACGUGCACAAGAUGUUAGAUAUUUGUCAACCCUUCCCAAAUAAUAUGAUUAUAUCUGCACAAGAUUUUUAAUAUGAUGUUACUUCUCCAUUCUGUA